GCUUGACAUACCACUCCUUUUAGUGCCCAUUUUUUUAUGGGUAAAAAAUAUAUCUAGAAAUCUAUAUUUUUUAAAACAAUAUUUAGACAGAAAAAUAAUUUAUCUAUAUUCUUUUAUGCAUAGGAAAGUGGCUUCGAAAUCUAUUAUUCAUGUUCUUUUGCCUUACUACAUUCCUGGCUAAGUUGUUAAAAUUUAUCCAUAUUUUUUAUAAUAUCUUUUAUCCUUU
rnacentral:lncRNA from 1 species